ACAGUAACUUAUACUACUCUUUCUCGAGCACGAAGAAGACAGAAGGCGCUCGCUUUAAAUGCGUACUCACACAUUUUGCGAUUUUGCUUUUGAAUUAUGCGACCACGAGGCACUCUUACGCAACUGGGGUGAACUUGCGCGCGCGUUCAUCACAGAAGAGCAUUCGCGGCAACGCGCGCGUUGUCCUGACAACAAGGAUUCACAAACAAACGCAGUUUCUUAACGGUCGUUUAGCAAUCUUUUGUCCGUUUUGUCUCCUUAUUUCGGUCGCGAAAUGAAGAUAAAAUACGUGUUUGUUGAUAUAUUAACUGUAAAUGCCAUUCACAUAUGAACACUAUCGUACCACAGUUAAAAUAAGAAGUCACGGUCAAAGGACAAAAGAGAGGGCUACGUUUUUUGGAGAAGCUGGACCAUUUUGACCUUAUCAUCUUCAGCGGUAUAAUUCAGCGAAAUCAAUGAUGUGCAGGGGUUUAAAAAGUACAGCUUGGGAAAUAUAAAGAUGAUGGUUAUUUUAAAGAAGAAGCCUGACACAUUGGAGACUUAACCAUCUUCAAAGGACAAUGCUACAAUUCAAGGAAGUCGACAGUUGUCUCAAUUAUACAGUUUUGCCUUUUUUUUGUACCAUAGUCUAAGUUUGUAUUUUGAUUGCCUAGAAGGUAUUUCUUAUUAAA